UACAUGGGGGUGCAAAACGUUGCUCGGAAUUAUUGGGCGUAAAGCGCGCGUAGGCGGUUACUUAAGUCGGAUGUGAAAGCCCUCGGCUUAACUGAGGAAGUGCACCCGAAACUGAGUAGCUAGAGUACGAAAGAGGGUCGCGGAAUUCCCGGUGUAGAGGUGAAAUUCGUAGAUAUCGGGAGGAACACCGGUGGCGAAGGCGGCGACCUGGGUCGAGACUGACGCUGAGGCGCGAAAGCGUGGGGAGCAAACAGG
rnacentral:rRNA from 1 species